rnacentral:rRNA from 1 species
UACGAAGGGUGCAAGCGUUAAUCGGAAUUACUGGACGUAAAGGGUGCGUAGGCGGUUGUUUAAGUCUGUCGUGAAAUCCCCGGGCUCAACCUGGGAAUGGCGAUGGAUACUGGGCAGCUAGAGUGUGUCAGAGGAUGGUGGAAUUCCCGGUGUAGCGGUGAAAUGCGUAGAGAUCGGGAGGAACAUCAGUGGCGAAGGCGGCCAUCUGGGACAACACUGACGCUGAAGCACGAAAGCGUGGGGAGCAAACAGG